rnacentral:rRNA from 1 species
UACGAAGGGGGCUAGCGUUGCUCGGAUUUACUGGGCGUAAGGGCGCGUAGGCUGACAGUUAAGUUGGGGGUGAAAGCCCGGGGCUCAACCUCGGAAUUGCCUUCAAUACUGGCUGUCUUGAGUGUGAGAGAGGUGUGUGGAACUCCGAGUGUAGAGGUGAAAUUCGUAGAUAUUCGCAAGAACACCAGUGGCGAAGGCGGCUCACUGGCCCGAUACUGACGCUGAGGCACGAAAGCGUGGGGAGCAAACAGG